UGGCUCAGAGGUUAAAGCGUCUGCCUCCAAUGCAGAAGACCCGGGUUCGAUCCCUGG
rnacentral:tRNA from 1 species